rnacentral:misc_RNA from 1 species
GUAAGUCUCGUAUACAGUUGUGUUGCUUUGUAGUUUUUAUAUUUUAAAGUACAAGACAUUCUUUGCCUUAGCUGAAACUGCCAAAGCACCAAGGAAAAGGUGUUUUGGGAACAAGCUACUUGUACUAACCUAGCCUAAUCAUGAUACGGUCAAGCAUGGAAUCAAGCAGCGGAAUGAUUUUGUAAUAGGAUUAUGUUGUGCCUUACUGACUACAUGGUGCCAUGAACUGUCAAUAUCCCUAAAUGUCUUGAGUUUAGAAUUCAGCAGUGUCAAAGAUUAGCUUUGAUAUGAGCAAUAAAGAUUACUGAUGAUUGUAUCUCAGCGCUUUUUU